UUCAUUUUAUUAUUUCUACUUAAGAAAAUUUCUAACUCCAUGAAGUAUAAUAGGAGACUUGUAUGUGCAUGUGGGUCUCCUCCAAUUGUGAGAAUUUCAUGGUCGGAUGACAAUCCUGGACAUAGAUUCCUCGAUUGUCUGCAUUAUGGUUCCCGAUUUCGAAUUAGUUGCAAUUUUUUGGAUUGGUAUGAUGCAGAAUUUCCACGUCAAGUCAAUAUUGUCAUUUUGGAUUUGUUGAAGAAGACCAACAAACAACAAAAAGAGUUGAAACGCAAAAAGAUGUUAAAACUAAUUUUGUUCAUUAGUUUGAUAUGUAAUGUGAUGAUGCUAAUUUACAUUUUGAGUCAUUGAUUGAUUAGCGUAUGUAAUGGUACUUUAAUUUGAUAAGAUUGUGUAUUUUGACGGAUAUGUUGUAUUUGUUUGCUGAUUAAAGCAAUAUAUUCUCAUUUCUUGGUUA